GUAGGGAAUAUUGCACAAUGGGGGAAACCCUGAUGCAGCGACGCCGCGUGAGUGAUGAAGGCCUUCGGGUCGUAAAGCUCUGUCGUAUGGGACUAACACAAUGAAGGUACCAUGCAAGAAAGGAUCGGCUAACUUCGUGCCAGCAGCCGCGGUAAGACGAGGGAUCCUAGCGUUGUUCGGAAUCAUAGGGCGUAAAGCGGGUGUAGGCGGAUUUAUAAGUCAGGUGUGAAAUCCCAGGGCUCAACCCUGGAAGUGCACUUGAUACUGUAAAUCUUGAGUGUGGUAGAGGUUACUGGAAUUGUUGGUGUAGUGGUGAAAUACGUAGAUAUCAACAGGAAUACCGGAGGCGAAGGCGAGUAACUGGGCCAACACUGACGCUGAGACCCGAAAGCGUGGGGAUCAAACAGGAUUAGAUACCCUGGUAGUCC
rnacentral:rRNA from 1 species